ACGGGAGGCAGCAGUGAGGAAUAUUGGUCAAUGGGCGGAAGCCUGAACCAGCCAAGUCGCGUGAAGGAUGAAGGUAUUAUGUAUUGUAAACUUCUUUAGCAGCAGAGUAAUAAGGUCCUCGAGAGGGCUGAUGCAAGUAUGCUGAAAAUAAGGAUCGGCUAACUCCGUGCCAGCAGCCGCGGUAAUACGGAGGAUCCGAGCGUUAUCCGGAUUUAUUGGGUUUAAAGGGUGCGCAGGCGGCUUUUUAAGUCAGCGGUAAAAUCGUGGGGCUCAACCCCAGCCUGCCGUUGAUACUGGAGAGCUUGAUUGCGGUCGAGGUUGGCGGAAUUCGUCGUGUAGCGGUGAAAUGCAUAGAUAUGACGAAGAACACCGAUUGCGUAGGCAGCUGACCAGGCCGUAAAUGACGCUCAUGCACGAAAGUGCGGGGAUCGAACAGGAUUAGAUACCCUGGUA
rnacentral:rRNA from 1 species